rnacentral:rRNA from 1 species
GACGAACGCUGGCGGCGUGCCUAACACAUGCAAGUCGAACGGACAGGCCCUGCUUUUGUUGGGUGCUCGAUUGGCGAACGGGUGAGUAACACGUGUGUAACCUGCCCUUGACUUUGGGAUAACUUCAGGAAACUGGGGCUAAUACCCGGUAGGAGCUCCUGCUGCAUGGUGGGCGUUGGAAAGUUUCGGCGGUUGUGGCUGGACUCGCGGCUUAUCAGCUUGAUUGUGGGGUAGUGGCUGACCAAGGCUUUGACGGGUAGCCGGCCUGAGAGGGUGACCGGCCACAUUGGGACUGAGGUACGGCGCAGUCGGCUACGGUACGCAGCAGUGGAGAAUAUGGCGGAAUGGGCGGGAGCCAGAGGCAGCAGCGUCGCGUGCGGAAUGACGGCCUACGAGGUGAAAACCGCUGUCGCCGGUGACGAAGCGUGAGUGACGGUAAUGAGUAAGGAAGCACCGGCUAACUACGUG